AUGACAGUGAACUUGAUGGCUCUGAUGAUGAUGGCUCUAACCCUCAACAAUCAAAGCAAGGUCAUGUUCAAUAAAAGCAGCGGGUCUAGUGGAAGAAAAAAAAGAGAAAGAAAGAAAUAUGAAGUUUGAUCCACUGUAAAAUCUGAUAGCUAAUGGUUCAAUCUAGCCAUCAAAAAUUUUAUGUAGUUCUGAAAAAAAAAAUGAAGAAGAAUGAGAGAUUGAUGCCUCAACUCUAAUGAUCAAUUGAGGGUGGCUCAUCCAAAAUGCUUGACAGAACAACCUAAUAAAUCCCAC
rnacentral:lncRNA from 1 species